CCUACGGGCGGCAGCAGUGGGGAAUAUUGGACAAUGGGGGCAACCCUGAUCCAGCCAUGCCGCGUGUGUGAAGAAGGCCUUCGGGUUGUAAAGCACUUUCAGUGAGGAAGAAGGCCUGCGGGUUAAUAGCCGGCAGGAAGGACAUCACUCACAGAAGAAGCACCGGCUAACUCCGUGCCAGCAGCCGCGGUAAUACGGAGGGUGCGAGCGUUAAUCGGAAUUACUGGGCGUAAAGCGCGCGUAGGUGGCUUGAUAAGCCGGUUGUGAAAGCCCCGGGCUCAACCUGGGAACGGCAUCCGGAACUGUCAGGCUAGAGUGCAGGAGAGGAAGGUAGAAUUCCCGGUGUAGCGGUGAAAUGCGUAGAGAUCGGGAGGAAUACCAGUGGCGAAGGCGGCCUUCUGGACUGACACUGACACUGAGGUGCGAAAGCGUGGGUAGCAAACAGGAUUAGAUACCCAAGUAGUC
rnacentral:rRNA from 1 species